GUUUGCUACCCAUGAACAGGAAGUCUUGCUUGGUCUGCAUCCUUCCAAUUGUGCAUCUACAAAUAACACGGUACAUCUACGUCCAUUUUGAGUUGCUUACAGACACCAAUGUGCUCAGUGUGGAGGAAUGUGGAAGAGCCAUCACAGAAUACUUCAGAGUAAAAUUGACCAUCAAAGAUGUCCUCUGUAAUAGCGAAGGUACAGAGAUGGAACUUUGCAUUGUUCAGCUGCUCAUGGCACACUUCGGAGAGGAGCUAACAGGGCUGGUCCUUCUUGCAGAUCUGACAUUGAAACAACCUUCACUCCUCCUGCAAGCCCUCGUCUGAUACUGCUUGUUUCAGGUGGAACAGAGAAUGUCAAUAUUGGAUGCUGGAUGAUUACUCUGGAGGGGCGUGUAAUAUCUGAGGGCAUCACACCAUCCUUUUUGACCGGACUGGCUGCUGUGUUUG